CAAGAGAAGCCCGGCGCUUCCCACUUCCAGUGCGCAGGCAGCGCCGCCGGAACCGGGCGUGGCCUCCGCGCAAUGCCCGCUGGGAAGCGUAGUCCCAAGCAGGGACGGAUGCGGCGGCCCUCGGAGCUCAGGUUGCAAGAUACGGUUUGGCCCCGGGCCUAUGCAACGCCCGCCCGUCCUGCCCUCUGCGGGUCGCUCUCACUUGUCCCUGGACCGCAGCCGCCGCAUAAGUGGUGGCCAACGCUGGGCCUGGGUGUGGCCGGAAGCAGAGGCCUCUCUGACUACACACCCACCCCCCCCAAAGGCUUCUGGGAGUCGCGCAGGCGCAGCGGCAGGCCGGGUCUCCUGGCCUCAGUGAUGGAAUUAAGAUGACUUCUAUCUCUGAAUCCAAGGGUGACUGAAAGCCGCAAGCUGCAGAAAAGACAAGGUUAGCAUUUCUCUCAAAGCACUUCAGUCUCAUAGAAAAGGCUUAGUUUCAGUCAGGUGGACCUAGCCAUGUAAUAGCUGUGGCAGACACUGCUAAUGGUCUCUCUGGUGUCUAUUUUGCACUCCUUCCACAGCAG